rnacentral:rRNA from 1 species
GCUCAGUAACACGUAGUCAACUUACCCUAUGGACGAGGAUAAUCUCGGGAAACUGAGCAUAAUACUCGAUAGAUCAUAAUGCCUGGAAUGGUUUAUGGUUAAAAUGAUUCGUCGCCAUAGGAUGGGACUGCGGCCUAUCAGCUUGUUGGUGAGGUAAUGGCCCACCAAGGCGAUUACAGGUACGGGCUCUGAGAGGAGAAGCCCGGAGAUGGGUACUGAGACNAGGACCCAGGCCCUAUGGGGGCGCAGCAGGCGAGAAAACUUUGCAAUGUG